GAUGAACGCUGGCGGCGUGCUUAACACAUGCAAGUCGAACGGAACUACUCCAAUGAUAGUCUUCGGAAAGGAUUUGGGUUAGUUUAGUGGCGGACGGGUGAGUAACGCUGUGGGAAUCUGCGAUAUACAGGGGGAUAACAGUUGUAAACGACUGUUAAUACAGCAUAAGCGCACAGGAGCGCAUGCCCCUGUGUGAAAGAAUCCGGUGGUAGAGGAUGGCCCCUCGUGUGAUUAGCUGGUUGGCGGGUUAACGUCACACCAAGGCGACGAUCAGUAGCCGGCAUGAGAGGGUGAACGGCCACAUUGGGACGAGGACACGGCACAAAGUCCUACGGGAGGCAGCAGUGGGGAAUAUUGCAAAAGGGGGGAAACCCUGAUGCAGCGACGCCGCGUGAGCGAAGAAGUAUAUCGGUAUGUAAAGCUCUAUCAGCAGGGAAGAAAAUGACGGUACCUGACUAAAAAGCCCCGGCUAACUACGUG
rnacentral:rRNA from 1 species